rnacentral:rRNA from 1 species
UUCCGGUUGAUCCUGCCGGAGGUUACUGCUAUCGGAGUUCGAUUAAGCCAUGCGAGUCUAAAGGUUUCUUCGGAAACCUUGGCGGACUGCUCAGUAACACGUGGAUAACCUACCCUUGGGACUGGGAUAACCCCGGGAAACUGGGGAUAAUACCGGAUAGAUCAGGGAUGCUGGAAUGCGCCUUGAUCCAAAGCUCCGGCGCCCAAGGAUGGGUCUGCGGCCUAUCAGGUUGUAGUGGGUGUAACGUACCUACUAGCCGACGACGGGUACGGGUUGUGAGAGCAAGAGCCCGGAGAUGGAUUCUGAGACACGAAUCCAGGCCCUACGGGGUGCAGCAGGCGCGAAACCUUUACAAUGUGCGAAAGCAUGAUAAGGGAACUCCGAGUGCCAGCAUCUAAUGCUGGCUGUCCUUGUGCCUAAAACGCACAAGAUAGCAAGGGCCGGGUAAGACCGGUGCCAGCCGCCGCGGUAACACCGGCGGCCCGAGUGGUAGCCGCUAUUAUUGGGUCUAAAGGGUCCGUAGCCGGUUCGAUAAGUCCUCUGGGAAAUCUGGUUGCUUAACAAUCAGACUGCCAAGGGAUACUGUCGAACUUGAGACCGGGAGAGGUAAGAGGUACUUCAGGGGUAGGAGUGAAAUCUUGUAAUCCCUGGGGGACCAUCUGUGGCGAAGGCGUCUUACCAGAACGGGUCUGACGGUGAGGGACGAAAGCUGGGGGCGCAAACCGGAUUAGAUACCCGGGUAGUCCCAGCCGUAAACGAUGCUCGCUAUGUGUCAGGUACGGUGUGACCGUAUCUGGUGCCGUAGGGAAGCCGUGAAGCGAGCCACCUGGGAAGUACGGUCGCAAGACUGAAACUUAAAGGAAUUGGCGGGGGAGCACUACAACGGGUGGAGCCUGCGGUUUAAUUGGAUUCAACGCCGGAAA